GUGGGGAAUAUUGGGCAAUGGGCGAAAGCCUGACCCAGCAACGCUGCGUGAAGGAAGAAGGUCUUCGGAUCGUAAACUUCUAUCCUUGGUGAAGAUAAUGACGGUAGCCGAGAAGGAAGCCCCGGCUAACUACGUGCCAGCAGCCGCGGUAAUACGUAGGGGGCAAGCGUUGUCCGGAAUGAUUGGGCGUAAAGGGCGCGUAGGCGGCCUGGUAAGUCUGGAGUGAAAGUCCUGCUUUUAAGGUGGGAAUUGCUUUGGAUACUGUCGGGCUUGAGUGCAGGAGAGGUAAGUGGAAUUCCCGGUGUAGCGGUGAAAUGCGUAGAGAUCGGGAGGAACACCAGUGGCGAAGGCGACUUACUGGACUGUAACUGACGCUGAGGCGCGAAAGUGUGGGGAGCAAACAGGAUUAGAAACCCGGGUAGUCC
rnacentral:rRNA from 1 species